rnacentral:rRNA from 1 species
AGUGAACGCUGGCGGUAGGCCUAACACAUGCAAGUCGAACGGCAGCACAGUAAGAGCUUGCUCUUACGGGUGGCGAGUGGCGGACGGGUGAGGAAUACAUCGGAAUCUACUUUUUCGUGGGGGAUAACGUAGGGAAACUUACGCUAAUACCGCAUACGACCUACGGGUGAAAGCAGGGGAUCUUCGGACCUUGCGCGAUUGAAUGAGCCGAUGUCGGAUUAGCUAGUUGGCGGGGUAAAGGCCCACCAAGGCGACGAUCCGUAGCUGGUCUGAGAGGAUGAUCAGCCACACUGGAACUGAGACACGGUCCAGACUCCUACGGGAGGCAGCAGUGGGGAAUAUUUGACAAUGGGCGCAAGCCUGAUCCAGCCAUACCGCGUGGGUGAAGAAGGCCUUCGGGUUGUAAAGCCCUUUUGUCGGGAAAGAAAAGCAGCAGGUUAAUACCCCGCUGUUCUGACGGUACCCAAAGAAUAAGCACCGGCUAACUUCGUG